rnacentral:lncRNA from 1 species
GGUUUGACCUUAACCAGCUCACAGAUCUCAAUUUUUGCAGACAAAAGAUUAAUUAGCACCCGCCGUGAAAUGAAGUGGUGUGUGAAGAUGACAUGUUGCUUCUCUGAGACCUUAGGCAAGUGUUAUGUGUUAACUGUCAACUUGACAGAAUCCGGAACCACUUGGGAGCUUAACAUCCAGCAAUAGGAAAAGAAAAGUAAGACAGCAAGUUAGCAAACCUGGUUUGUUCUUCAUAACCCACCUUGUCUGGGGCACUGCAGAAAGGGAGGGAAUCCUGUCUACACAGCAUCCGACGGUUUCCAAGAAAGAAAGAGAACCCCAUUGCGUCAAGUGGCCUAUAGGGAGCACAGCUCUAGGUGGUGAGCUGGGGGCUGGAGGACUGAGAAUCGAGGAGAAGCCUCCGUUCUCCACAGUCCCUUAAGAACCAAGGUUGGCUUUUCCAUCUUAGCUUGUUAUGAAGGUCACCACCCAGAAGGCAGAAAAAGAAAGAACUCGGGGAACCAUGCAGAAGAGGAUUAUCAUGAGAUUCACAGCGGGCCAUGGACUUCUGCUUACUGAUGUAAAACUCAGUCCCUCCACCCCACUAAACUACAAGGAAGCCUGGGCGAUAUGGUCUCCACGCAUUCUCUACGAAAAAGGAAAUGAUUUAACGAAGCCAAAUUCUGGAACGGUGGUUCGUGUCAUGCAAAGAUCCAUUGAGGGCAAGCUUUAAGAGGGCUUAGAAUUGCAGGACAAACCACAGAGUGGGGGGCACAGAGAACAAGGUUUCCUGCCAUCUCACUACUCUGAUCGUCUUGGCUGUAGUUCCAUCACCUUCCAUCACAGACUAUUGCCCAGGUAAAUGCAAGCCAUUUCUGAGGAGUUGGCAAACUUUUCCAGAAACCCUAGAAGACAUCCCCUUGGGCCUCAGCUAUAACCAAAUUGCACAAGCAGCCACUGAUACAUAACUGACUCCUAGCAAAUGAGUUUGCAGCUGAGAGUGAUUGUCCCAGU